rnacentral:rRNA from 1 species
CCUACGGGAGGCAGCAGUGAGGAAUAUUGGUCAAUGGACGAGAGACUGAACCAGCCAAGCAGCGUGAGGGAUGACUGCCCUAUGGGUCGUAAACUUCUUUUAUAUGGGACUAAAAUGUUCCACGUGUGGGAUUUUGUAUGUACCAUAUGAAUAAGCAUCGGCUAACUCCGUGCCAGCAGCCGCGGUAAUACGGAGGAUCCGAGCGUUAUCCGGAUUUAUUGGGUUUAAAGGGGGCGUAGGUGGUUUGUUAAGUCAGUAGUGAAAGUUUGCGGCUCAACCGUAAAAUUGCCGUUGAAAAUGGCAGUCUUGAGUACAGUAGAGGUAGGCGGAAUGCGUGGUGUAGCGGUGAAAUGCUUAGAUAUCACGAAGAACUCCGAUUGCGAAGGCAGUUCACUGGACUGCAACUGACACUGAGGCUCGAAAGUGUGGGUAUCGAACAGGAUUAGAUACCCUUGUAGUC